GUUAACCGUUUUAGGAAAUCAUUUAUUUUCAAACUUGAAGAUGUGUAGGCUAGGCGAUGUACACAGCUUGUUUGAUUCCAUUGAGGUCCUAACUAGAAUCCAAUUGCCAUCAGGAAAAUUGCAGGAGAGUAUUUUCCAUCGAAAAACAACACUUCAAAAACAUAAAUGCUUUUACGUGUAUUUUAUUAUUUUCAAUGCGUGUAGCUAUGGCACAGCUUCCAGCUUAACAGACUGGAAUUUGAGUGUCAUCUCUCUUCCAUAUUGAUGCUGUCGAGUGAUGCUCUAGUGGUACUGUCUGCCAAGAGCGGACACAA